AGGGCUGGGGAUUAGAAAAGGGGGCCAUUUUGUUGGGAUGGUGAGCCAAGCAAGUGAAGAGCUGUGGAGUGGCAUGAGUCUAAGGACCUGGCAGAAGAGAGGAGACUGCCUUUAAUGCAACAUCAGAGCCUGUGUAUGUCCUCUGCCCACCGCCGCCAUGGCACUCUUCUUUGGGCCUACCCAUAUUUACAUCCAGCUGGGUCGACAGAGCAAUGCCACAGAGACCAGCAAUAAUCAUCUCUGAGCCCACCCCACAAACACCAUGAUGUGUCAAAAAGAGAAAAUGAAACAGGAAAAAUGAGGAACAGAGACAAAUGAGAACUGACAGAUUCGUCCAUUCCUAACUCAAAGCUGGCUACCUUGUAGAAAGUUGUGCCGCAGU